rnacentral:lncRNA from 1 species
UUUUUUUUUUUGGUCAGAAAAAGAUAAUAUUAUUAGUAAAAGUGAAGGUACCAGAGGUACCAGAAGUUACAAAAUGAGAUGAGAAAUACAGUUUGUCAUCCAAUCCUGAAAACUCGCUUCGCCCUCCAACAGGUCGAAGAUUUUACUCCAACUCCACAUUCUAGCUUUAAUACCACCUAACAUCUUAUCCAUCUCCCAAUUCUUGCUCUCGAAUCUGCUUUCAUUCCUCCCUUUCCAUAUAAGCCAGGUAGUGCACGCCCAAAGUACCGAGAGAAACUUCGAACUGAUCUUCCUUGUCCCAAGGUUUGAGAAGGCUUCAAAGUGUGCUUCGACAUUGUCGAUUCGAACUGAGUCAACUCCCACCCAUUUUUGUAUUUCGUUCCACACCAUUUCUGUCUUCGGGCAUCGUAGGAAAAUAUGUUGAGCUGAUUCUUCCUU